ensembl:lncRNA
GGAAAUAUCAAAUGGUCCACAUUUUAAGAACCACUGGUCUGUAAAUGUAAUACAAACAGGAAGAUUAGAGUGAGGAGUCUUUAGCCUCAAUUGGGCACACACAGGACUCAAACCACAGGCCAUUUUCUUUCUUUCCUUCCUACUUUCCUUUUUGGUUGAGACAGGGUCUCACUAUGUAGUCCAGGCUGGCCUCGACUCAUGGUGAUCCUCAGCUUCAGGCUCUAAGUGCUAAGAUUUCAGGUGUGCGCCACCAGCCUGGGCCCACUGUCUAUUUUCAACUGAGAAACGGGAUGGAUAAAUGUAGAAAACACUGCAAGUUAAGAUCGCAUCUACAGAAUAAAGCAAUCAGGAAUUCUAGAAUAACUUAAAAGUCUCUACAGUUGCUCCCUAUUUUUACCCAUUAUCUUUAGCAGAACCAAUGUUCACAUACAUUUUUAGAAAUGUAUGGAGUAGGAUACGAAAGAAGGGAACCUCCUAUGCAUCGAUAAAGAAAAAAUUGACCCCAAAUCAGUUUUUUAAUAUUUACCGAAGGAUUGUUAGAUUAGUUGUUUUAGCAAUCAAUAAAUGCAAAUCAAACAAAAAACAACAACAAAAAACCCCACACUAAUCUACAGUAAAAGGUGCUACACAAGAGACAUUUAUUAAUGUUCUGUUGUAUUUACAGUUUUAACAUACAAACCAAGGUGUAUUACCACUUGGGCAGAAAGCACAUCAUUCUACAUUACUAAUUCAUUGGUUUCUGUUAACACAUUGUAAAAGCAAGUAGUACAGUAUGUUAGGGAUCAUCUCAAAAGUUCCAAGCUAAUUCUUUCUUUGCUCCUAGUUACCUUAUCUUUUAGGACUCUAAUUAUAGUGUCAGAAAUUACAGACUGUCUAAAAUUACAUUUUUGUAAUUAAGCUGUAUUUGUCUUUGUCCUUUCUAUUUAUACAGUAACACUUCCUGAAUUCCUUAGAUACACACCACAGAAUAAGGUACUGUAAAAUUCUGCAUACAGACUAUAAAAAUUAAUGCUUAUUUACUAAUUAAGAAUGUAUUUUUUGACUACAACUUAAAUAUAUUUCACACUAUGAUUUUGCUUCCAGGUGUUCACACACAGUACAACUGAAUAAUUUUCUAGAUUAAUUUUAACAGCAAAUAUGGAUUAUAAACAGAAAUGCAGUCAUAAUAGAAGUUAUUAACUUUUGAGAAAAACUCUUUAAAAUAACCAGUCUUAUAUCUUACACUAAAAUCUUUAAUUCCAAAUUCAUUUUUUUUUUCUGAGAUGAAGGAUGAAUAAAGCAAGGUUGCCCCCUACUGACUACAGGGACAUGGCUCAUGCUAUUUAAAAUGACUACAAACGAUACAUAAGGCAUUAUUAAUACAUCACAGACUUGAUUGCAAGAGUGUUUUCAAACAUUAACCACUAAUGAUUCAAUGAUUACAGAAUUCUGCAUUAACUAUUAAAAUUUUACACCUAGGAACAAAUAGAGAGAAAUGAUCUUUUUCAACAGUACUUUGUUUUUUAAAGCAGGUGAUUACUCCUCUGUUCUUCAUCUUGAUUCACUUCCUGCAGGUGUUCUCUUGCUUCUUGAGAGGGAAUUCAUAAAUGCAGGAAGGCCUUUGCCAGAAAACAUCUGCCAGAGAAGGAUAUUGAAUAGUGAAACUCUAGUUAGCUUGUUAUUUUGGCUAAGAGAAGGAUGUAGUCACAAAGGAAGGCAGGAUGUUUGGAGACAUAAGAGGUGCAUUUUAACAUAGUUUUAAGAUCAC